rnacentral:rRNA from 1 species
UACGGAGGGGGCAAGCGUUAUUCGGAAUUAUUGGGCGUAAAGGGCGCGUAGGCGGCUAGAUGUGUCAAAGGUGAAAUCCCUCGGCUCAACUGAGGAACUGCCUUUGAAACUGUCUGGCUUGAGGCCGGGAGAGGGUAGCGGAAUUCCCAGUGUAGCGGUGAAAUGCGUAGAUAUUGGGAGGAACACCAGUGGCGAAGGCGGCUCACUGGACUGGUACUGACGCUGAGGCGCGAAAGCGUGGGGAGCAAACGGG